AAAACAUUAUGUUCCUAUUUACAAGUUGGAUCAUCUAGGAACUCUAUAAUGAAAGUUACCAUGGAAAAGAUAUUACAUUUCUUUUGUCAUCCUCGUUGAAUAACAAGACAAGCAAAAAAUAUCAACUAGCACUUGAUUGCACCUACAGAAGCAAUUUUGAGGUAAUUGUAAAAUUAAUGGCAGUGAAACAAUUUGCGCAGCAAAGUUUAUAUUACAGUUAAAGGUUUAAUUAAAUAUUUUUGUUCCAGUUUCAUCAAGAAUGUUAUCGUGUAACUGAUUAGCAUUCUUCAAUUGAUUCUUCAAUUUUAUGUUUUGGUAUUGUUCCUUGGAUUUUUUUAAUUUUAUUCCAGUUGUUAUUCGUUCCAAUUGUCUGAAGCUUAUAUGCUUAUUUUUAGUAAGAUAUUUUACCAGCAGUGCUUACGGUAAGCAGUAAAAUCCCCUUUCUCAAUACUUUUUAAUGAAAUCAUUGUAGUGUUUGCUUUGAAGAGUCAAUACUCUAUGGUGCAACGCUUCGUGCAUAUUUCUUUUAUUCGUUUAUCGGAAAUUAAACAUGCACAGCACGUCGAACGUUAACUGGGUAAAUAAUAGUUUCAUUUGUUUAUAGUAAAUCAAACAUAGUUACUUUUUAUGUUCAAUCAAGUUGGUGUGUUUAGUAUUGGUGCAACUUUUACACAAAUAAUGAUGUAACUUUGUUGUUUGGUUAAGUUUGUAUGCUUUGUAAAUAAAAGCCAUGUCUAUUAAAACCUAAGUCCAAUUUUUCAUUAAAAAUUUGAUUUUAAAAGUCAAGUCCCCUAUUUUCUGUUGAUACUGUUGAUGUCAUUUUCAUUCUUUUAACUAACUACCCAGCCUAAACAUAUAUCUUAAAUCAUUGAAUACGAUAGCAAAGACCAAAUCAAUUAAAAAGACCUAAUUAUAGAGUAAAGGGAAUUAUCAAUGUCAGUCAUUAAAGGAAAUAGAUCACUCUAUACAUAUGAAAGUAAAAUUUGUGUGAACAGUGGUUUGCUGAAGGGCUCAUUUCGCUUAACUGUUUCUCACAGUUGAACCCCCUAUUAGUAUUUGCACUGUACGUAUAUUACCUUAGUGUCUUGUUCUAGAUUGUAGUCGAAUAUUGCAGUUAAUUAUGACUUUGCACUUUUAUCAUCAGGUUUUAAUCUCUAUUAUGCAAUGAGCUUAAAAAUCACAAAUUAUGCAGAUCACCAGUGAUUUUAUUGCAAAAAUAUAUUUCUUUAUGAUAAAUCAACUACGACUUAUGUAAUACCAAAUACGUUUCACAAUUUUAUACAAUUUAUAUUUCCAACUUUAUAUUAAAACAAAUACUGUUCCAUUUAAAGCAAUUGUUUUGUUUCGAAUAUAUAAUCGAAUAUAAUCACUCAUGACAACCCUAGUUUUACGUAAUGUCUUGUUCUAGAUCCAUCUUCAGAUACAGUAGUGAAGAUCAAGUAAUUAAUACAA